GGCCCCGUGGUCUAGCGGUAAAGAUUCCGGCUUUUCAAGCCGUGAGACGCCGGUUCGAGUCCGGUCGGGGCUA
rnacentral:tRNA from 1 species